CCUCUUGCCAUCGGAUGUGCCCAGAUGGGAUUAGCUAGUAGGUGGGGUAACGGCUCACCUAGGCGACGAUCCCUAGCUGGUCUGAGAGGAUGACCAGCCACACUGGAACUGAGACACGGUCCAGACUCCUACGGGAGGCAGCAGUGGGGAAUAUUGCACAAUGGGCGCAAGCCUGAUGCAGCCAUGCCGCGUGUAUGAAGAAGGCCUUCGGGUUGUAAAGUACUUUCAGCGGGGAGGAAGGGAGUAAAGUUAAUACCUUUGCUCAUUGACGUUACCCGCAGAAGAAGCACCGGCUAACUCCGUGCCAGCAGCCGCGGUAAUACGGAGGGUGCAAGCGUUAAUCGGAAUUACUGGGCGUAAAGCGCACGCAGGCGGUUUGUUAAGUCAGAUGUGAAAUCCCCGGGCUCAACCUGGGAACUGCAUCUGAUACUGGCAAGCUUGAGUCUCGUAGAGGGGGGUAGAAUUCCAGGUGUAGCGGUGAAAUGCGUAGAGAUCUGGAGGAAUACCGGUGGCGAAGGCGGCCCCCUGGACGAAGACUGACGCUCAGGUGCGAAAGCGUGGGGAGCAAACAGGAUU
rnacentral:rRNA from 1 species